GAUCUGGUUGAUUCUGCCAGUAGUCAUAUGCUUGUUUCAAGGACUUAGCCAUGCAUGCCUCAGAAUCACUGCAUUGCAGGAAUCUGCGCAUGGCUCAUUACAUCAGACGUAAUCUGCCGCAAAAAUCUUGCGGUCUCCGCAACAUUGGAUAACUUGGCGAAACGCCAAGCUAAUACAUGAACCAACCGGAUGUUCUCUGUUCCGGCGGCAGGGCAACACCUGCUGCCAUGGGACGUCCAGCGAAUGAAUGAAAGUAAAACCAAUGCCUUCACCGGCAGUAACACUCAGAAGUGUUGAUUCAAUUCAUUCCGUGCGAAAGCCGGGUUUUUUACCCGGCGUCUUUUGACGAACAACUGCCCUAUCAGCCAGCGAUGGCCGUGUAGUGGACUGCCAUGGCGUUGACGGGAGCGGGGGAUUAGGGUUCGAUUCCGGAGAGGGAGCCUGAGAAAUAGCUACCACUUCUACGGAGGGCAGCAGGCGCGCAAAUUGCCCAAUGUCAAAAAAAAAAGAUGAGGCAGCGAAAAGAAAUAGAGCCGACAGUGCUUUUGCAUUGUCGUUUUCAAUGGGGGAUAUUUAAACCCAUCCAAAAUCGAGUAACAAUUGGAGGACAAGUCUGGUGCCAGCACCCGCGGUAAUUCCAGCUCCAAAAGCGUAUAUUAAUGCUGUUGCUGUUAAAGGGGUUCG
rfam:Trypanosoma cruzi strain CL Brener tcruzi_1047053429137, whole genome shotgun sequence.